GUCUAUGCCCAUGUCACCCUGAACAAGCAGGAUCCCGUCUGAUCUCCGAAGCUAAGCAGGGUUGGGCCUAGUUAGUACUUUGAUGGGAGACCAGGUGCUGUAGGCA
rnacentral:rRNA from 1 species